ACAAAGAGAUCAACGAUCUCGAAAGUCCCAAUAAAUUCAUGGGAUAUUCAUAUAGGGAUCAAAACCUCUCUUCUUGAUAAUUAAAUACAUCAAGAAGAUCCACAAGCCCUCCUGUCAUGGAGAUCAAAUCCAAAUGUUCCUAAGUUUGAGAAAUACGCCACUAACGGCCCUCGAAUUACGGAGAAAUUCAUAUCAAAUUCAAAUAUGCCUACGUUCGAGAAAUACG
rnacentral:lncRNA from 1 species